GUUGAAGAACGUAGCGAAAUGCGAUAAGUAAUGUGAAUUGCAGAAUUCAGUGAAUCAUCGAAUCUUUGAACGCACCUUGCGCCCUUUGGCCAUUCCGAAGGGCAUGCCUGUUUGAGUAUCAUGAACACCUCAACUCUUCAUGGUUUUCCGUGAUGAGCUUGGACUUUGGGGGUCUUGCUGGCCUAUGGUCAGCUCCUCUAAAAUAAAUCAGCUUGCCAGUGUUUGGUGGGUAUCACAGGUGUGAUAACUAUCUACGCUUGUGGUUUUCCACCAGGUAACCUUCAGCAGUGGAGGUUCGCUGGAGCUCACAGAUGUGUCUCUCCUCAGUGAGGACAGCUCUUUGAAUGUUUGAUCUCAAAUCAGGUAGGACUACCCGCUGAACUUAAGCAUAUCAAUAAGCGGAGGA
rnacentral:misc_RNA from 1 species